rnacentral:sRNA from 1 species
GUUUCAAUUCCUCAUAGGCAGGCUAUCGGCGGCGUGCAGUUUGUCUGAGCGGCUACGUCCACCAUAUG